UCUCUGAGUGAAAGGAGGAAUUUUUUCCAUGAUAAAGCAUUUCAACAAAGAAAAGUUGUUUUUACAUUAAUUUUCCUUACUAGUGUUGUGUUCAAGAUUCUAAAUGUGUCUUCAAACUAAGACUUUGAAUGAUUAAAAUCAAGUAUAUUGGGCUUAAAAUAAUAGCAAGACCAACAUUUUGGGAAAUCGAUAUUAUUCCUUUGGUUAUUUUUAAAAACGACUUUCGAGAGCUGAAGACUAUGACUGUAGGGUUGGCAUAAUAACUUAACCAAAGUUUACUGAAACUUUGAAAGACCGACGGCAUUAAGGACCAGUCCCGAAGACUGAUAGGACCAAUCCUAAGAUAUUUUUAACAUCGGUGGACAGAAGAAUAAAACUAAGACGUAAAAAACAUUUUUUAAAACCUCGACAAUUAAUAACUCAAAAACUUAUGAAGCUUCAUCUCCCCAUAAAAAAUGAGACAUAAAGAAUAAAAUGAUUUCAGAUUUUGCAUAUAACUUGGAGUUAAAAUAUACUACGCACAAAAAAUGAGAUAAAUGCCCUGGAAAACAAGGAGGAACAUAAAUAUUUAUGUAAAAUAUUGAGAAAUUGCAUUUUACUACAUGAUUUGUAGUCAUGUAAGAAAUUCUAUGAAUAAGAGUAAAUCUCUAUUAUUUACAAUCAAUGAAAUAACCAUUUUAAUUUUUUAUUAUUAUGAAACUUUAUUUUUUGUUAUGGAUCCAUCUCAUACAUAUUUUUCAAUUUUAUACUUUACUUGUAGUAGGUAACUUAAUCAACACAAAUAUUUAUAAUAUUUUCGAUAAUAUGCUUGAAUACAAUGUGAUAAAUAGUAAUAAAAAUAAAGGUAUAGAUAUAUAGAUUUACAUAGGUAAA
rnacentral:lncRNA from 1 species